rnacentral:misc_RNA from 1 species
AACGCACCUUGCGCUCCUUGGUAUUCCGAGGAGCAUGCCUGUUUGAGUGUCAUUAAAUUCUCAACCAUCCAUUAAUUUGGUUUGGCUUGGAUGUGGGGGUUGCAGGCUUCAUUUGACUAUGAGGUCAGCUCUCCUUAAAUGCAUUAGUGGAACUUUUGUUGACCAUCUAUUGGUGUGAUAUCUAUCUACACUGUGGAUGGGUUAGCGGUGUUCAGCUUCUAACCGUCUAUUAUUGACUUACUUUUGACCAUUUGACCUCAAAUCAGGUAGGACUACCCGCUGAACUUAA